rnacentral:rRNA from 1 species
GACGAACCGUGCGAACGUUGUUCGGAAUCACUGGGCUUAAAGGGCGCGUAGGCGGGCGGUCAAGUCUGUGGUGAAAUCCUUCGGCUCAACCGGAGAAUAGCUGGAGAUACUGGCCGUCUCGAGGGGGGUAGGGGCAUGUGGAACUUCCGGUGGAGCGGUGAAAUGCGUAGAUAUCGGAAGGAACGCCGGUGGCGAAAGCGAUGUGCUGGACCCUUCUGACGCUGAGGCGCGAAAGCCAGGGGAGCAAACGGGG